rnacentral:rRNA from 1 species
AGCGAACGCUGGCGGCAGGCCUAACACAUGCAAGUCGAACGAACUCUUCGGAGUUAGUGGCGGACGGGUGAGUAACACGUGGGAACGUGCCUUUAGGUUCGGAAUAACUCAGGGAAACUUGUGCUAAUACCGAAUGUGCCCCCCGAUUCAUUUUGGGGUGGGAAAGAUUUAUCGCCUUUAGAGCGGCCCGCGUCUGAUUAGCUAGUUGGUGAGGUAAAGGCUCACCAAGGCGACGAUCAGUAGCUGGUCUGAGAGGAUGAUCAGCCACAUUGGGACUGAGACACGGCCCAAACUCCUACGGGAGGCAGCAGUGGGGAAUCUUGCGCAAUGGGCGAAAGCCCGACGCAGCCAUGCCGCGUGAAUGAUGAAGGUCUUAGGAUUGUAAAAUUCUUUCACCGGGGACGAUAAUGACGGUACCCGGAGAAGAAGCCCCGGCUAACUUCGUGCCAGCAGCCGCGGUAAUACGAAGGGGGCUAGCGUUGCUCGGAAUUACUGGGCGUAAAGGGAGCGUAGGCGGACAUUUAAGUCAGGGGUGAAAUCCCGGGGCUCAACCUCGGAAUUGCCUUUGAUACUGGGUGUCUUGAGUAUGAGAGAGGUGUGUGGAACUCCGAGUGUAGAGGUGAAAUUCGUAGAUAUUCGGAAGAACACCAGUGGCGAAGGCGACACACUGGCUCAUUACUGACGCUGAGGCUCGAAAGCGUGGGGAGCAAACAGG